UUUUAAAUGCAAUAUUUAAUGCUGUCAGAUUACUUGAAGACAAAGUUUUACAGAAAACUUUAAAUUUCAGAAAAAAAACUGCAAUGUACCAAUAAACACCUAGAAAAUAAUAUAAUUAAAAAAUUUAAAGCAUCAAACAACCUCAAGAUCUCGUCAGGAAUAAUGAACAAGGCAUUUUGCGUUCACAUCGGCUAGCAAUUUGCAUCCCAGUUCACGCGGGGGAGGGUGAUGGUCGAUAUUUCUCUCUGUGUGUGAGAAUCCAGCACAAUUAUUUUGCCCGUUUUCCCAAGAGAAAGAAACCAGAGGGAGGGGCAGAGGAUGGACGGAGGGGGCUCGGCUGCAGUACGUUUUGGUUCAGCGAUUGUGUUUCCUUGAAACACAUUUAGAUAAAUUCUGCUCGAAAUCUUUAUUGCUGGGGAAUUGGGAAACCCGUGACCUGCCCUGGUCUUUGUCCCUCAUCCAUGGCCUGGUCCCGGGUCCCGCCACUGGGGUCUUCUCUUCCUCCUCCCUCCUCUGGACCAAAGUGGCGCAGACGCCCAGCCAGGUGGAAGGCGUCCCGCUUGCAGCAAGGUAGCUCAGCAGCCUCAGCCGCCCGCAGUGAAACAGCCGGAGCAAAAGAUACUUUUAUUUCUCGGCCCGUAUUAACACUUCAGCUCUACAAAAUAACCUAUAGGUUUUAACUUCCUUCUCUUCCAUUGAAAAAGGUUCCUUGAAAAUCCUGUCCUCCCAUUCCCCGGGGCUCCCUUACUUUUAGUUCAUACAGAUAAUUUCCCUUUCAGAUUUCCUCAUUGCAUUUUGAACUCAUAAAACAUGCACAUAAAAAUAGCAUGUUUCAAAUUUAUGGGGAAAAUGGGCUCUGUCUCUUAAAUUUGUUUACUCAAAACAUUUUGAGUGGGGGGUCUUUUUUCGUUUUAAGAAGAAAGGCUUUUUAGGAAACUAUGUACAUAAUCUGAAUUCUCCUCCCCGCAUUACAACGCCGAAAAUAAAAUUUUCACAAUGCAUUUACAAGAAAUAAUACAAAAUCAAAAAAAAAAAUGGAAACGCUCAGAUACAGAAAGUUUUACAAAACCCAGAAUAUAACUCCGCCGUCUGAAGGAGGGGGUGGUGGUGGUAAUCUCUUUGUAUAAAUUAACAAACCAACCCAAAAGAGCGGUAACAACUACAAAAAACUUGUAAGUGCUUGGACCUGCCUUACUACAUUUAUAACAAACGCGACGAGCUCCGCGUCACUUGGGCUCGGGCGGUCGGCGCCGUCCGGAAGCAACGCAGGGGAAAGUGAGCGCGCCGGCCGGUAUACAAAAGUGGGCUUCGCCUCUCGCCUCGUUUUGACUUUUUUGUCCCCUCGAGCAAAGAAAACGCUUUCCGCCUCCUCCGUAGGUGAUAAAUACUGUACAAAAAGUCUCAAGAAAACACUGAAGUUCAGUCUAAAACGCAAGUCUGGUGUCAGCGCCCGGCGGUCGCCAGGGGCUCCUGGGAAUGUGAGUGGGGGACACGCGUCACCCGGCGUUCGUCUCCAGUGUUUUCCUUUUGACAAGAACAUGGAAACGUCUGUACAAAAGCCAGGCUCCGGUGGGGGGGGGAGGAGGCCCGGGGGGGCCCGGAGGGGGCGAUUACGGUGCAGCCAGGGAGGGGCCCGGGGACAGCAGGAGGAGCGCGGGCUCGUGGAGAGGGCCGGAGAGCCGGGGCCGCCGAGCCCGGGAUGGGCUGCCGGCUGCCUGCCCGGGGCCGUGCGCUCGGAGCGGAGGCGCACGCGGGGCCGGCGGCGCGCGGGGCCCAGC
ensembl:lncRNA